CCUACGGGAGGCAGCAGUGGGGAAUUUUGGACAAUGGGCGCAAGCCUGAUCCAGCCAUGCCGCGUGCGGGAAGAAGGCCUUCGGGUUGUAAACCGCUUUUGUUCGGGAAGAAAUCGACUCCAUUAAUACUGGGGUUGGAUGACGGUACCGGAAGAAUAAGCACCGGCUAACUACGUGCCAGCAGCCGCGGUAAUACGUAGGGUGCGAGCGUUAAUCGGAAUUACUGGGCGUAAAGCGUGCGCAGGCGGUUUCGCAAGUCAGAUGUGAAAGCCCCGGGCUCAACCUGGGAACUGCAUUUGAAACUACGAGGCUAGAGUGUGUCAGAGGGGGGUAGAAUUCCACGUGUAGCAGUGAAAUGCGUAGAGAUGUGGAGGAAUACCGAUGGCGAAGGCAGCCCCCUGGGAUAACACUGACGCUCAUGCACGAAAGCGUGGGGAGCAAACAGGAUUAGAUACCCUGGUAGUCCACGCCCUAAACGAUGUCAACUAGUUGUCGGANAAGCAAUUCUUGGUAACCGCNNCACGCGUGAGUAGACGCGNGGAGGUACGGUCGCGAGAUAACGUACGAAGAAGUAGACGNGUGAGACGUGCGACGACGACGACGAGGAGAGG
rnacentral:rRNA from 1 species